GGCGAACGCUGGCGGCGUGCUUAACACAUGCAAGUCGAACGGAAAGGCCUGCUUUCCCUUGUGGAUUGCGGGUACUCGAGUGGCGAACGGGUGAGUAACACGUGAGUGAUCUGCCCCCAACUUGGGUAUAAGCCUGGGAAACUGGGUCUAAUUCCCGAUAGGACUGCAGGGUGGUGCCUGUGGUGGAAAACGAUUUUCUAGUGGUUGGGGAUGAGCUCGCGGCCUAUCAGCUUGUUGGUGGGGUAAUGGCCUACCAAGGCGGCGACGGGUAGCCGGCCUGAGAGGGUGGACGGCCACAUUGGGACUGAGAUACGGCCCAGACUCCUACGGGAGGCAGCAGUGGGGAAUAUUGCACAAUGGGCGGAAGCCUGAUGCAGCGACGCCGCGUGGGGGAUGACGGCCUUCGGGUGGUAAACUCCUUUCGACCGCGAGGAAGCCACCUGGUUGGAAGGGUGGUGACGGUAGUGGUAGAAGAAGCACCGGCUAACUACGUG
rnacentral:rRNA from 1 species